CUUCAGUGCUUUCUGUGGAGUGGAGAUGUGGCAGGCAGGUUAGAAGCCUGGCUGAUGUGGUCAAGGAGCAUCUGGAAUGGCUUGGCAUGCAUGAAGAGCG
rnacentral:lncRNA from 12 species